UGUUCACUUCCGUUCUCAGAACGUUUAAAAUACGUUCAGUUUUACCGGUCAGGAAACUUAUGGCUUCAUUCCCAGAACCAAUCGGGAAACCAAGACUUCUAAGGAACCAAAUGUGCUAGGUGCAUAAGGUGGAGAUUGCGCAAAUACGAACUGCCCUUUUACGAUUCCUCACAAAACUAAUAAGGUUAGUUUGAAAAUGAUCUUUUAGCUUUUGCCAUUUCAAUGUAUCCAGGCAGUCACGGUCAUCAAGCUCUGAGAAAACAAGGAACAACCAAUAUUUUAUAGCAGUUCAUAGGAACAGUUAUUACUUGGUUAUAAAUAAUGCAACAUUCUGUGGUUUCUUGACAUAUUCAUUAGAUAUCAAUAAAACAUGAUAAGAAGGUUCAUUCCUUAGGUCAACCUUUAUGUUGCUGACAUAGGAAGUCAUAAUAUCCCUUAUCUCUCACAACUUUAUGGCAAUGAUCAUUUUUGCAUAUAACUGACCAGACAUUGCAUAUUUUUAUGUAUAAUUAAAUGUCACAUUCCAUCUUAGUGCUUGUUUGUCAGAUUUCCAGUUCUAAGAUCAGAUGUGAUAAAACCUCUUCAGAACAUGACGCAGAAACAGGGCCAGUACAAAGCCUGGUGUUGUGUGUCAGCCUCACAUGCUAGGAUCCAUAUAAGGGUUAUGAUGCGCACCAUAUGAUCAAAGACAUGGGUGUUCUGCAAUGUUACUGAUAAAUGUAGUCUCUAGAUUUAAAGAGAUAAUACAUCUGGUAAAUGUAGUCUCUAGAUUUAAAGAGAUAAUACCUCUGGUAAAUGUAGUUUCUAGAUUUAAAGAGAUAAUACAUCUGGUAAAUGUAGUCUCUAGAUUUAAAGAGAUAAUACCUCUGGUAAAUGUAGUCUCUAGAUUUAAAGAGAUAAUACAUCUGGUAAAUGUAGUCUCUAGAUUUAAAGAGAUAAUACCUCUGGUAAAUGUAGUCUCUAGAUUUAAAGAGAUAAUACCUCUGGUAAAUGUAGUCUCUAGAUUUAAAGAUGAUCUAAUCUGGUAAAUGUUACACUGUAAUUUCAUUAAGGUAUGUUAUUGUGUAAAGCAACAUAUACAGAAUUUUACAUUUUUACUAAAUCACAUUCUUUCCAUUUUAUUUUAGUUAUGUUAUAUAAAGUUAUGUUAUACAAAAAUACAAGCAACAAUAUUUCGUAACAUUCAUGUGCAAAAUGUAUCUUAUUUGUAACAUACUGUGGAUCAAGUAUUCAUAAAUUGACUUUGACAGAGCUAAGCUCCAGAUUCCAUGUCUUUCAUUGAUCGUUUCCCAGAAUUCUCCCUAAUCCAAAGGGAAUGGGGCAUGCUGUUCCUGCCUGUGUUCAGUCAGUUCAUUUCUUCUUCCUGGUCCAUGUGGAAUCCCAAACAUUGAACACCUGAUUAGCAUUGCCAGGACCACCAUCAGUGGUCAUUGGUAAACCAAGCAUCAGUCAUUAUGACACUGCUGUAGUCCUUUUUGAUUGAUCGAUCCAUGUGACAUCUUUAUCACAGAUUACCAUCAGACUUGUAAAAACACACAUCCUCCAUGUUCAGAGGAACAUGCUGGUCCGGUCCAGUCUGGUCCGCUCUAUAGGGACCUGGUCAGAGGAACAUGUUGGUCUGGUCCAGUCUGGUCCGCUCUAUAGGGACCUGGUCAGAGGAACAUGUUGGUCUGGUCCAGUCUGGUCCGCUCUAUAGGGACCUGGUCAGAGGAACAUGCUGGUCCGGUCCAGUCUGGUCCGCUCUAUAGGGACCUGGUCAGAGGGACAUGUUGGUCUGGUCCAGUCUGGUCCGCUCUAUAGGGACCUGGUCAGAGGGACAUGUUGGUCUGGUCCAGUCUGGUCCCCCUCUAUAGAGACCUGGUCAGAGGGACAUGUUGGUCUGGUCCAGUCUGGUCCCCCUCUAUAGGGACCUGGUCAGAGGGACAUGUUGGUCUGGUCCAGUCUGGUCCAGUCUCGUCCCCUCUAUAGGGACCAGGUCUGAGGGACAUGUUGGUCUGGUCCAGUCUGGUCCCCUCUAUAGAGACCUGGUCUGAGGGACAUGUUGGUCUGGUCCAGUCUGGUCCCCUCUAUAGGGACCUGGUCUGAGGGACAUGUUGGUCUGGUCCAGUCUGGUCCCCUCUAUAGGGACCUGGUCUGAGGGACAUGUUGGUCUGGUCCAGUCUGGUCCCCUCUAUAGGGACCUGGUCUGAGGGACAUGUUGGUCUGGUCCAGU
ensembl:lncRNA